GAAUUGCGAUAAGUAAUGUGAAUUGCAGAAUUCAGUGAAUCAUCGAAUCUUUGAACGCACAUUGCGCCCGCCAGUAUUCUGGCGGGCAUGCCUGUUCGAGCGUCAUUACAACCCUCAGGCCCCCGGGCCUGGCGUUGGGGAUCGGCGGAAGCCCCUGCGGGCACAACGCCGUCCCCCAAAUACAGUGGCGGUCCCGCCGCAGCUUCCAUUGCGUAGUAGCUAACACCUCGCAACUGGAGAGCGGCGCGGCCACGCCGUAAAACACCCAACUUCUGAAUGUUGACCUCGAAUCAGGUAGGAAUACCCGCUGAACUUAAGC
rnacentral:misc_RNA from 1 species